rnacentral:misc_RNA from 1 species
GAUGAAGAACGAAGUGAAAUGCGAUAAUUAAUGUGAAUUGCAGAAUUCAGUGAAUCAUCGAGUCUUUGAACGCACAUUGCGCCCCCUGGUAUUCCGGGGGGCAUGCCUGUCCGAGCGUCAUUGCUGCCCUCAAGCACGGCUUGUGUGUUGGGCUUCCGUCCCUGGCAACGGGGACGGGCCCAAAAGGCAGUGGCGGCACCAUGUCUGGUCCUCGAGCGUAUGGGGCUUUGUCACCCGCUCCCGUAGGUCCAGCUGGCAGCUAGCCUCGCAACCAAUCUUUUUAACCAGGUUGACCUCGGAUCAGGUAGGGAUACCCGCUGAACUUAAGCAUAUCAAUAAGAGGA